UACAGAGGGUGCGAGCGUUAAUCGGAAUUACUGGGCGUAAAGCGCACGUAGGCGGCUUGGUAUGUCGGGGGUGAAAUCCCCGGGCUCAACCUGGGAACUGCAUCCGAAACUGCCUUGCUUGAGUAUGGGAGAGGGAAGUGGAAUUUCCGGUGUAGCGGUGAAAUGCGUAGAUAUCGGAAGGAACAUCAGUGGCGAAAGCGACUUCCUGGACCAAUACUGACACUCAAGUGCGAAAGCGUGGGGAGCAAACAGG
rnacentral:rRNA from 1 species